CAGGAAAUCUGAAGAAGAAAUGUCUGCCAAACCAUGGACAACCCCUAAGGUUACAUAUGGGCGACCCCGGUCACACAGAUAAGAGCUAUCAACUCACAGGGCUUUCCAAGUGUAGUCCAACACACAACAUGGUAGCAGGGAUAUACCAGGGGCAGACCAAGCCUGAACUGGAAACACCAGACCAGCCAUUCUCUAAUCUAAAUGAACUGCCCUUGGUUUCACUUGGAAAACUGGAAAUUGCGGAGCUGCUAUGUGAUAGAAAUUAUCAUACGGAAUCGAUGCACUUUUACUUGGAUUCACCGCAUUUUUACCAAUACUAGAGGUAGCUGUCACAAUUUAAAUGCAUUUUCUAGAUUGUUUCUUUAUUAAUGCGCUCUAUAAGGCAUCCUGCCUCUGCUUCAUAUCUGUAUGAGAUUAAAUGACCUAAAUAUGUUACUGUUGAAUAUAUAUAUAGAUAUGUAUUAGAUAAAUAUUCUUUCAUUUCAGUACUUAGUAUACAUAGAUCGCACAGGGCCCCUGCGCUUCUUGACUGAUCCCUUUAGGGUUAAUAAUAGCUUUGGUGGGCAGAUGGUUGAAAAAUAUUGUACCCUUAAUAAGGGUCUCUAUUGUGGGAUUCGUAUGGCCCUACUUUUACAGAAUAAACCUGCAGAAUACAUAAAAUAACUGUGUAAGCAUAUAAUGCCUGCACACUUGACCCAGUCCCAUCUUUAAAACAUCUCCAAUAUUAAUAAUUCAUGGAUAAUGGAUAUUUGUUUAAAUGUUUAUUCAUUUAUAUAUGGCAAGGAGAAGAUUACCGGCGUUGACAUAGCAGCGUUGCGCAAAUACACACCUCAAGCAGUCUUUUGGCUACAGAUACAGAUUCAAUGCUAAGGUUAGCUCUCCACAAGGUUCAGCUUUUUUUUUUUCUUUAGGGAAAAAAAAGUUUUCUCUAUAUUAUUGUUAUUGUUUUUGUCCUGUGUUUAAUGUUUGGAAUCCUUGUAAUAAUACUUCAAGUGUUGGUGAUUUUUAAAAUAAACUGCGUUAACAGA